AGUGGCGGACGGGUGAGUAACACGUGAGCAACCUGCCUUUCAGAGGGGGAUAACGAUUGGAAACGAUCGCUAAUACCGCAUAACAUCAUCGGACCGCAUGAUCUGAUGGUCAAAGGAGCAAUCCGCUGAAAGAUGGGCUCGCGUCCGAUUAGCUAGAUGGCGGGGUAGAGGCCCACCAUGGCGACGAUCGGUAGCCGGACUGAGAGGUUGAACGGCCACAUUGGGACUGAGACACGGCCCAGACUCCUACGGGAGGCAGCAGUGGGGGAUAUUGCACAAUGGAGGAAACUCUGAUGCAGCGACGCCGCGUGAGGGAAGACGGUCUUCGGAUUGUAAACCUCUGUCUUUAGGGAAGAAGAUGACGGUACCUAAAGAGGAAGCUCCGGCUAACUACGUGCCAGCAGCCGCGGUAAUACGUAGGGAGCGAGCGUUGUCCGGAAUUACUGGGUGUAAAGGGAGCGUAGGCGGGAAGACAAGUUGGAUGUUUAAACUAUCGGCUCAACUGGUAAUUGCAUCCAAAACUGUUUUUCUUGAGUGAAGUAGAGGCAGGCGGAAUUCCUAGUGUAGCGGUGAAAUGCGUAGAUAUUAGGA
rnacentral:rRNA from 1 species